rnacentral:rRNA from 1 species
UACGGAGGAUGCAAGCGUUAUCCGGAAUGAUUGGGCGUAAAGCGUCCGCAGGUGGCUAUGUAAGUCUGCUGUUAAAGAGUGAGGCUCAACCUCAUAAGAGCAGUGGAAACUACAUGGCUAGAGAGCGUUCGGGGCAGAGGGAAUUCCUGGUGUAGCGGUGAAAUGCGUAGAUAUCAGGAAGAACACCGGUGGCGAAAGCGCUCUGCUAGGCCGCAACUGACACUGAGGGACGAAAGCUAGGGGAGCGAAUGGG